UCCACAAAAGCUCAGUCUGGUUGAGCAGCUUUUCAUCGAUUAAAGCAGGACCUAGGUUCAAAUCCUGGUUGUGGCC